GCCAAAGUGGCUCAAUGGUAGAGCAUCGCUCUCCUACGUACGCGUCGGUAGGCGGAGGUUGUGGGUUCGAGACCCAUCUUUGGUU